UGAGCUGAAGUUCCCCUGCGUAAAGAUGGU
rnacentral:piRNA from 1 species